rnacentral:rRNA from 1 species
GGGCUUGCGUCCGAUUAGCUAGUUGGUAGGGUAAUGGUCUACCAAGGCGAAGAUCGGUAGCUGGUCUGAGAGGAUGAUCAGCCACACUGGGACUGAGACACGGCCCAGACUCCUACGGGAGGCAGCAGCAAGGAAUAUUGUGCAAUGGGCGAAAGCCUGACACAGUGACGCCGCGUGGGGGAUGAAGGCUUUCGGGUUGUAAACCCCUUUUCUCAGGGAAGUGACGGUACCUGAGGAAUAAGUCACGGCUAACUACGUGCCAGCAGCCGCGGUAAUACGUAGGUGGCAAGCGUUAUCCGGAUUUAUUGGGCGUAAAGAGGGCGUAGGCGGCCUUUCAAGUCGGAUGUAAAAUCUCCCGGCUCAACUGGGAGCGAUCAUUCGAUACUGCUAGGCUAGAGGACGGCAGAAGGAGGCGGAAUUCCCGGUGGAGUGGUGAAAUGCGUAGAU